CUGUAGCAGCCCAGCACCCAGGAAUUUAACGGGUGGAUCUUUGCUUUAUUUUUACAAGCUCAUAGGCAAAUAUCAUUCAUUUAGACUGAAGAUUCCUUUUCAAGGCAUACGCCAUGUAUUUAAAAUUAUAAAUCACAUCAGUGGCAAACAUCCUCGGUGACCUUACAUACAGUGUAUCUGAGUCUCCUUAAGGGAAGUCCACUAGGAAAAGACAAGACAGGACGGGAAACCAGAGGGACAGAAUGAAGACGGUGGCUUCUGGUUCUGCGAGGGAAGUACAUUUGCCAUCAACUUCAGUGCCAGCUGGUCAUUUCAGGCAGAACCAGACAAAGUGAGAAAGAAGUACAAAAGAAGCCUCUGCACGUUCAAGAAGGUCUGAGUACAGUUCCUGAGAUGUCAGCGAGAGGAACCUUUCUGUUAAGUACGGUGUUGCCCUGUGCCACGCCACCCUGCCCUGGAGCCAGCUGAUUAUGGACUGAAAUCUCUGCAAACUGAAGAGGGCAUGGAGAUGGUGUGAGUGCUACACCUGCCCUGGAGGGUGCUGGCCUGCUUACAAUAUACUGGAGCAAAGGAGGCUCCUCACCCUCAUUUUGCUUUUGUUGCUGGUGCUGUCUUCUGCUGCCUUGAAGUAUCAGGUCUGUGCCACGCCACCCUGACAUGGAGCCAGCCGAUUGUAGACUGAAACCUCUACAAACUGUG